rnacentral:lncRNA from 1 species
CUGGUGAAGGAUUUCAAGUGGAGGAAUUAAAUGACCAUUUGGAAGUUUUUGUAGUUAAACCCAAGAAAAACAGAUUAGGAAGAUGGAAGAAGAGGAUUUGGGAAAACAGUUAUCAUUGUCACUAUCUCAGAGAAAAGUGUUUGAGAGAAGUGGUGUCAAAGAUGAUGGGCAGUUUUCUGUUGUUAUUAUUUGUGUGUUUGUUUUAUUGUGAUUUUGUUUUUGACAGAAAACCUGUAUAGAUGGUGAAGACACAAAAGCAGAACUCAGUUACUUUUCAAAGAUGUAAUGAAAAAUGAGUUGAAUAAGUUUCCUUGAAAAAGAUUCUGUUGAAUAAGUACUCUAAUCAAUAACGAGAAAAUGUUUUAUUUUUACAGGUCACUUGGAGAAAACACUUAUCACAGUAAAUCUAUAUUCAAUAUCACAUGUACAUUUGGUGAAUAUUACUAUUAAUUACUGCCAAAGGACUAAUUUACCCAUAAACUAAAGUUGAAACAGAAUUUUACUCAGAAUUUUAGCUUCUGGCAAAAAUGAAGAGCAACAGAUGAUAACUACUAAUGUUAAGAAUAACAGAUAAAUCAGACAGUCAAGCCAAAAGAGAACUUUUGUUUGGUUGGCUGAUUUACCUAAUGGAAACAAAAUUUCUAUUUUUAUAUAAACACAACUUGGUUAUAGUCUUUUAGUUCGUAAUAACAGUUUAGAAUUUAAUCCCUUGUAUUUAGCAAUUUCCUGCACAUCGCCAGAAAUUAGAAAUGGAUAUUCUAUAUCUCAGAAGAAAAUUUAUAAGGAGAAUGAAAGAUUUCAAUAUAAAUGUAAUCAAGGUUUUGAAUACAGUGAAAAAGGCAAUGCUAUAUGCACUAGUUCAGGAUGGAGUCCAACUCCCUCAUGUGAAGGUAAGGUUAUUU